UGAAGAGCGGGAAGGGAGAGUAACGCGUGGGAAAUCUGCCGAGUAGCGGGGGACAACGUUUGGAAACGAACGCUAAUACCGCAUAACAAUGAGAAUCGCAUGAUUCUUAUUUAAAAGAAGCAAUUGCUUCACUACUUGAUGAUCCCGCGUUGUAUUAGCUAGUUGGUAGUGUAAAGGACUACCAAGGCGAUGAUACAUAGCCGACCUGAGAGGGUGAUCGGCCACACUGGGACUGAGACACGGCCCAGACUCCUACGGGAGGCAGCAGUAGGGAAUCUUCGGCAAUGGGGGCAACCCUGACCGAGCAACGCCGCGUGAGUGAAGAAGGU
rnacentral:rRNA from 1 species